rnacentral:ncRNA from 1 species
UUAUUGGUGAUGACGGAAAAAAGUAAUUAUGUUAUUUUCAUACAGAGAGCUAGUGGUUGGUGUAAACUAGUUGAAAAUACAUAAUGAAGUUCCUUCCCGAACUGCAGACUGAAAUUUACAGUAGGUCUUGCCGUACGUCUACGUUACAGACAUAGAGCUGAUCUUAUGAUCAAAACUAGGGUGGUACCGCGGUGAUUCGUCCCUUAU